rnacentral:rRNA from 1 species
UACGUAGGGUGCGAGCGUUGUCCGGAAUUAUUGGGCGUAAAGAGCUCGUAGGCGGUGUGUCACGUCGGCCGUGAAAACCUGCAGCUUAACUGUGGGCGUGCGGUCGAUACGGGCAUCACUGGAGUUCGGCAGGGGAGACUGGAAUCCUGGUGUAGCGGUGAAAUGCGCAGAUAUCCGGAAGAACACCGGUGGCGAAGGCGGUCUGCUGGGCAGUUGCUGACACUGAGGCGCGACAGCGUGGGUAGCGAACAGG